rnacentral:tRNA from 2 species
GGGCCAUUAGCUCAGGUGGUUAGAGCGCACCCCUGAUAAGGGUGAGGUCCCCGGUUCAAGUCCAGGAUGGCCCA